GAUGAACGCUGGCGGCGUGCUUAACACAUGCAAGUCGAACGGAAAGGCCACAGCUUGCUGUGGUACUCGAGUGGCGAACGGGUGAGUAUCACGUGGGUGAUCUGCCCUGUACUUCGGGAUAAGCUUGGGAAGCUGGGUCUAAUAUCGGAUAGGAAUCACAUGUGGGUGUGUGGUUGGAAAGCUUUUGCGGUAUGGGUUGAGCUCGCGGCCUAUCAGCUUGUUGGUGGGGUAUUGGCCUACCAAGGCGUCGCCGGGUAGCCGGCCUGAGAGGGUGUACGGCCACAAUGGGACUGAGAUACGGCCCAGACUCCUACGGGAGGCAGCAGUGGGGAAUAUUGCACAAUGGGCGGAAGCCUGAUACAGCGACGCCGCGUGGGGGAUGACGGCCUUCGGGUUGUAAACUCCUUUCGUCAGGGACGAAGCGAAAGUGACGGUACCUAGAGAAGAAGCACCGGCUAACUACGUG
rnacentral:rRNA from 1 species